CGGGUUGUUGCUGGCCCCCAAACCGGGCACGUGCACGCCCUGUUUACGCAUCCACUCACACCUGUGCACCCUCUGUAGUUCUGUGGACCGGGAGACGUCGUCUUCCUUCCGUGGCUCUACGUCUUUACACACANGCCGUAGCGAAGUCUCAUGGAAUGUUUUUCGCGUUUAACGCAAUACAAUACAACUUUCAGCAACGGAUCUCUUGGCUCUCGCAUCGAUGAAGAACGCAGCGAAAUGCGAUAAGUAAUGUGAAUUGCAGAAUUCAGUGAAUCAUCGAAUCUUUGAACGCACCUUGCGCCCCUUGGUUAUUCCUCGGGGCAUGCCUGUUUGAGUAUCAUGAACACCUCAACUCUCGUGGUCUUCCAUGAUGAGCUUGGACUUUGGGGGUUUGCUGGCCCUGUGGCCGGCUCCUCUCAAACGAAUCAGCUUGCCAGUGUUUGGCGGCGUCACGGGUGUGAUAACCAUCUACGCUUGCGAUCGCCUGCCAGAUAACCCUCAGCGAUGAAGGUUCAUUGGGGCUCACAAAAGUCUCUCCACGGCGAGGACGAAUUUUGAAUGUUCGAUCUCAAAUCAGGUAGGACUACCCGCUGAACUUAAGCAUAUCAAUAAGCGGAGGAAAAGAAACUAACAAGGAUUCCCCUAGUAACUGCGAGUGAAGCGGGAAGAGCUCAAAUUUAAAAUCUGGCGUGCCUCCGGUCGUCCGAAUUGUAGUCUGGAGAAGCGUUUUCCGUGCUGGAGUGUAC
rnacentral:rRNA from 1 species